AUUGAACGCUGGCGGCAGGCCUAACACAUGCAAGUCGAACGAGUGGCGGACGGGUGAGUAAUGUCUGGGAAACGGCCUGAUGGAGGGGGAUAACUACUGGAAACGGUAGCUAAUACCGCAUACCAGAGGCUGUGCCCAGAUGGGAGUAGCUAGUAGGUGGGGUAAAGGCUCACAUAGGCGACGAUCACAGGCUGGUCUGAGAGGAUGACACGCCACACUGUAACGGAGCGACGGUCCAGAUUCCUACGGGAGGCAGCCUUGGGGAAUAUUGCACAAUGGGCGCAGUCCUGAUGCAGCCAGGCCGCGUGUAUGAUGAAGGCCUUCGGUUUGUAAAGUACUUUCAGCGGGGAGGCGUUACCCGCAGAAGAAGCACCGGCUAACUCCGUGCGAGCAGCCGCGGUAAUAC
rnacentral:rRNA from 1 species